AUAUAUAAAAAAGAAGAUGUGGUAUGAUUGCCAAUGAGACAGCUAUCCACAAAAGAUCAAAAUGACACAGACAUUAACAACUAUAGGUCACCGUACGGCCUUCAACAAUGAGCAAAGCCCAUACCGCAUAGUGAGCUAUAAAAGGCCCCGAUAAGACAAUUCAAACGAGAAAAUUAACGGUCUUAUUUAUGUAAAAAAAAAAAAAAAAAAAAAAAAAAAAAUGAACGAAAAACAAAUAUGUAACACAUAAACAAACGACAACCACUGAAUUACAGGCUUCUGACUUGGGACAGGCACAUACAUAAAUAGUGUAGCGAGGUUAAACAUGUAAGCGGGAUCCCAACCCUCCCCCUAACCUGGGACAGUGGUAUAACAGUACAUCAUAAGAACGAACUAUAAAAAUCAGUUGAAAAAGGCUUACCUCAUCAGAAGGACAAAAAUACAAGUGGACG
rnacentral:lncRNA from 1 species